rnacentral:rRNA from 1 species
UACGGGGGGGCAAGCGUUGUUCGGAAUUACUGGGCGUAAAGGGCUUGUAGGUGGCCAACUAAGUCAGACGUGAAAUCCCUCGGCUUAACCGGGGAACUGCGUCUGAUACUGGAUGGCUUGAGUUUGGGAGAGGGAUGCGGAAUUCCAGGUGUAGCGGUGAAAUGCGCAGAGUAUCGGGAGGAACACCGGUGGCGAAGGCGGUUCUCUGGGCCUGACCUGACGCUGAGGAGCGAAAGCGUGGGGAGCGAACGG